UUCAUCUACUCUGCAGAAUUACUAUGGGAAAAACACAUUUAUGUACAUUAUCACUAAUCCUCUUAACAACUCAUCAGAUUUCUUUCUACAUCUGCUCUCCGAGACCUCAGAAGCAUCUUCUCCUUACAAAUUGCUGCCAAAAUGUCCUCUACAUUAAUGUGACAUGUAUUCACCAAAUCAGACGGGUCAUCUAGGAGUCUGAAGAAUAUGGAGAACAGGAGAAAGGACAAGAGAAACAAAUUUUGGGAACUGAAGAGAAGACUGACAUGUGGUGCCUGACGUAGCAGAAAGCUG
rnacentral:lncRNA from 10 species